rnacentral:rRNA from 1 species
UACGAAGGGGGCUAGCGUUGCUCGGAAUCACUGGGCGUAAAGGGUGCGUAGGCGGGUCUUUAAGUCAGGGGUGAAAUCCUGGAGCUCAACUCCAGAACUGCCUUUGAUACUGAGGAUCUUGAGUUCGGGAGAGGUGAGUGGAACUGCGAGUGUAGAGGUGAAAUUCGUAGAUAUUCGCAAGAACACCAGUGGCGAAGGCGGCUCACUGGCCCGAUACUGACACUGAGGCGCGACAGCGUGGGGAGCAAACAGG